rnacentral:rRNA from 1 species
UACGUAGGGUGCAAGCGUUGUCCGGAAUUAUUGGGCGUAAAGAGCUCGUAGGCGGUUUGUCGCGUCUGCUGUGAAAACUCGGGGCUUAACUCCGGGCCUGCAGUGGGUACGGGCAGACUAGAGUGCGGUAGGGGAGACUGGAAUUCCUGGUGUAGCGGUGAAAUGCGCAGAUAUCAGGAGGAACGCCGGUGGCGAAAGCGACUCUCUGGGCCGUUCCUGACACUAAAGCGCGAGAGCUAGGGAGCAAACAGG